rnacentral:rRNA from 1 species
AUUAGCUAGUUGGUGAGGUAAGGGCUCACCAAGGCGACGAUCCCUAGCUGGUCUGAGAGGAUGAUCAGCCACACUGGAACUGAGACACGGUCCAGACUCCUACGGGAGGCAGCAGUGGGGAAUGUUGCACAAUGGGCGCAAGCCUGAUGCAGCCAUGCCGCGUGUAUGAAGAAGGCCUUCGGGUUGUAAAGUACUUUCAGUCGUGAGGAAGGUAGUGUAGUUAAUAGCUGCAUUGCUUGACGUUAGCGACAGAAGAAGCACCGGCUAACUCCGUG